CAGCAGCCGCGGUAAUCCGUAGGUGGCAAGCGUUGUCCGGAAUUAUUGGGCGUAAAGGGCUCGCAGGCGGUUUCUUAAGUCUGAUGUGAAAGCCCCCGGCUCAACCGGGGAGGGUCAUUGGAAACUGGGAAACUUGAGUGCAGAAGAGGAGAGUGGAAUUCCACGUGUAGCGGUGAAAUGCGUAGAGAUGUGGAGGAACACCAGUGGCGAAGGCGACUCUCUGGUCUGUAACUGACGCUGAGGAGCGAAAGCGUGGGGAGCGAACAGGAUUAGAUACCCCAGUAGUCCCUGUCUCUUAUAC
rnacentral:rRNA from 1 species